UGUCCACAUGCUCCUCUGCUGUUCUGGCUGCUACAUGAGUAGCUUUCACUGUACACUCCAUUGUCCCCCGUAACACAGGAAGGCAUCCUCCUGAGUUAGCAGUAACUGAAGGAUAAAGAUGAACAAACCACAAUUUCUUUCAUUCUCCCAACUCCUGGCUUUAGGGGCUGCUUUCUGGCUUUAAAAAUAUUGCACUGGAAUAGAACCAAGGAUCAAAUAUCUGGGACAUGAUAUCUUGAGUAAAACAGGAAAUGUCUGCUACAGAGACAAACUGAAGUUUGUGUAUAUCGUGCUGAUUCAGAAGAGAAUGAAGGCAUUUGUCAAGAGAUAAUGUCAGACUAAUCAGACAUGUUCCAAUCGAUUAAUGCAUUUGGAGGAUUUCCAAAUAUUUGCUGAUCUAAGGACGGUGAGGUAUAUGAUGGGAAACAAAUCUGAGAAAAGAAGGAUGGUAGAUGCUUUCCCAUUGUGACCUGUGAUCAUUUUGGCUUGAAAGAAAAGGUCAAGUGUGGUGGCUCAUACCUGUAAUCCCAACAUGUUGGGGGGCAGAGGCGAGAGGACCACUUGAGACCAGGAGUUUGAGACCAGCCUGGGCAACAUAGCAAGGACCUGUGCCUACAAAGAAACAAAAUAAAUAAAUGAAUAAAAAGACUAUUCAAAUGAUGGAUAGUUUGGUUUUAAAAUAUGAAAAGAACCCAUAGAAACUCAAAUGAAGAAAGAGAAUCUCAGGAAACAAAGUUUAGCUUGGCAAUAAUUGAACCAAAAUCACUGGGGAUCCAUUCUUUCUCUUUUAUUUUGUAGAUGAGUUAUCUUGCAUAUAUUUCUGCAUAUUGCUUUACUUUUCUUUGCUGCAGCCUCACUUCCAACAUGAAAAUCUUAGAAUUGGCACCCUUAUAAUAUUGGUUUCCACAUAGUAUGUGGUUAAAAUGUCAUGAACUCUGACAUUAAUUAUCUGUUGUAUCUCCAGAGACUAAAUCAGUUUAUUUGAUUCUGUUUUUUAAAAUUAAUUUGUUUGUACAGUUUAUGGAGGUAUAAUUGACAUUCUAUAAAUGGCUAAUAUCUCAUAGUACAAUUUGGUAAAACAUAAUCUAUUUGUACCCCAGUAAAACCACCACCAUAAUGGAGAUAAUGAAUAUGUGCAUUAUCCUCAAAGCUUUCCUCAUGCCCUUUUAUAACCUCUUGCUUCCAGCUCUCACCUCUCUGGAUUCGUCUCUGGCAAUCUUUAUCUGCUCUCACGAUGCAUGACUGAAUUUUAUAUAAGUGAAAUCAUAUGUUUGCCUAAUUUCUUUCAUUCAUUUAACUAUUUUAACAUUCACCCAUAUAAAUGUGUAUAUCAUUAUUUAAUGCCUUUUUAACUGCUGAGAAAUACUGUAUUUUAUAGAUAUACCUCAAUUUGUUUAUCCAUUCACAUUUAGGCAAUUGGACAUUUGGGACAUUUAGGUUGUUUCUAGUUUCGAGUCUUUAAAGAUGAUGUUAAUGAUGUUACUGUGAGCAUUUAUGUACAAGUCCAUGUAUAAACAUAUGUGUUUUAAUUUGAUAAACACCUAAAAAUGGGAUGACAGAGUCAAAUGGUAGGCUUAUGUUUAACUUCUUAAGAAACUACCACAUUUUUGUUCAAAAGCAACUAUCAGAUUUUACAUUCCUGCCUGCAGUAAAUGAGAGUUCUAGUUUUUUGAUGUUUACAAUACUUGGUAAGGUCAGUCUUAAAAUUUUAGUCACUCUUACUGGUGUGUGUACUAGUAUUUCUGUGUGUUUUUUAACUUGUGAUGUUCAGAAACUGUUUCUAUGGUGAUUUACUAUGUGUACAUCUUUAUUAAAAUGGAUCUGUUCACAGUCUUGGCCAAUUUUUUUAAAAUAGGGUUGCUUGUUUUCUUAUUAAUGAGUUUUGUUUCAUUCUAUAAUGUUUAACAUUGAGAUAUAAGUCACGUGAAAUAUAAUUCACCAUUUUGAAGUGUAUAUGUCAGUGGUUUUUAGUAUAACUACACAAUAUUGUACAACAAUUAUGACUAUUUUAUUCCAGAACAUUUUCAUUAAUCCAUAAAGAAAUCACAUACCUAUUAACAAUCAUGCCUAAUCUUUUCCUCCACUCGUCUCUGGCAACCCAUCAAUCUACUCUGUUUCCCUAGAUCUGUAUAUUCUGAAAAUUUCAUAUAAAUGAAUUCAUGCAAUAGUGAUAAUUUCUGAUAUGGCUUCUUUCCAUUUAGCAUGUUUUCAAGGUUCAUCCAAAUUGUGGCAUGUGACAGGUUUUUAUUACUUUUUAUGGCUGAAAAAUUUUUCUAUAGAGUUUUGAGAAUUUUUAUAUAGCCUGGAUACACAUUAUCAGAUUCAUUAUGUGUAAAUAUGUUUGUAAUUAUUCCUGUCUGUUGCUUGUUUUUUAAUGUUUCUUACAGUGUCUUUAAUUGUUAUUAUUAUUACUAUUAUUAUUAUUACUUUGAGAUGGAGUCUCACUCUGUCUCCCAGGCUGGAGUGCGGUGGCACAAUCUCGACUCACUGCAACCU
rnacentral:lncRNA from 10 species